rnacentral:rRNA from 1 species
CUUUUACAAUGAAGAGUUUGAUCCUGGCUCAGGAUGAACGCUAGCUACAGGCUUAACACAUGCAAGUCGAGGGGCAGCAUUUCAGUUUGCUUGCAAACUGGAGAUGGCGACCGGCGCACGGGUGAGUAACACGUAUCCAACCUGCCGAUAACUCGGGGAUAGCCUUUCGAAAGAAAGAUUAAUACCCGAUGGCAUAAUUAGACCGCAUGGUCUUAUUAUUAAAGAAUUUCGGUUAUCGAUGGGGAUGCGUUCCAUUAGGCAGUUGGUGAGGUAGCGGCUCACCAAACCUUCGAUGGAUAGGGGUUCUGAGAGGAAGGUCCCCCACAUUGGAACUGAGACACGGUCCAAACUCCUACGGGAGGCAGCAGUGAGGAAUAUUGGUCAAUGGGCGCAGGCCUGAACCAGCCAAGUAGCGUGAAGGAUGACUGCCCUAUGGGUUGUAAACUUCUUUUAUAUGGGAAUAAAGUUUUCCACGUGUGGAAUUUUGUAUGUACCAUAUGAAUAAGGAUCGGCUAACUCCGUGCCAGCAGCCGCGGUAAUACGGAGGAUCCGAGCGUUAUCCGGAUUUAUUGGGUUUAAAGGGAGCGUAGGUGGACAGUUAAGUCAGUUGUGAAAGUUUGCGGCUCAACCGUAAAAUUGCAGUUGAUACUGGCUGUCUUGAGUACAGUAGAGGUGGGCGGAAUUCGUGGUGUAGCGGUGAAAUGCUUAGAUAUCACGAAGAACUCCGAUUGCGAAGGCAGCUCACUGGACUGCAACUGACACUGAUGCUCGAAAGUGUGGGUAUCAAACAGGAUUAGAUACCCUGGUAGUCCACACAGUAAACGAUGAAUACUCGCUGUUUGCGAUAUACAGUAAGCGGCCAAGCGAAAGCAUUAAGUAUUCCACCUGGGGAGUACGCCGGCAACGGUGAAACUCAAAGGAAUUGACGGGGGCCCGCACAAGCGGAGGAACAUGUGGUUUAAUUCGAUGAUACGCGAGGAACCUUACCCGGGCUUAAAUUGCAUUUGAAUAAUCUGGAAACAGGUUAGCCGCAAGGCAAAUGUGAAGGUGCUGCAUGGUUGUCGUCAGCUCGUGCCGUGAGGUGUCGGCUUAAGUGCCAUAACGAGCGCAACCCUUAUCUUUAGUUACUAACAGGUCAUGCUGAGGACUCUAGAGAGACUGCCGUCGUAAGAUGUGAGGAAGGUGGGGAUGACGUCAAAUCAGCACGGCCCUUACGUCCGGGGCUACACACGUGUUACAAUGGGGGGUACAGAAGGCAGCUACCUGGUGACAGGAUGCUAAUCCCAAAAGCCUCUCUCAGUUCGGAUCGAAGUCUGCAACCCGACUUCGUGAAGCUGGAUUCGCUAGUAAUCGCGCAUCAGCCAUGGCGCGGUGAAUACGUUCCCGGGCCUUGUACACACCGCCCGUCAAGCCAUGAAAGCCGGGGGUACCUGAAGUACGUAACCGCAAGGAGCGUCCUAGGGUAAAACUGGUAAUUGGGGCUAAGUCGUAACAAGGUAGCCGUACCGGAAGGUGCGGCUGGAACACCUCCUUU